CUCGUAGGCGGUUCGAUUAGUCGGGUGUGAAAUCUCCACGCUCAACGUGGAGGGGCCACUCGAUACUGUCGUGACUCGAGUCCGGUAGGGGAGUUCGGAAUUCCCGGUGUAGCGGUGAAAUGCGCAGAUAUCGGGAGGAACACCAGUGGCGAAGGCGGAACUCUGGGCCGGAACUGACGCUGAGGAGCGAAAGCGUGGGGAGCGAACA
rnacentral:rRNA from 1 species